rnacentral:sRNA from 1 species
CGGUGUCGGUCAGCUGCGGGCAGAUGAAGUGGACGUGGCAGUCGAUGCCGCCCGCGGUGAGGAUCUUCCCGUUGCCGGACAGCACCUCCGUGGACGGCCCGACGACCAGCGCCGGGUCGACCCCGUCCAUCGUGUCCGGGUUGCCCGCCUUGCCGAUGCCGACGAUCCGGCCGUCGCAGACACCGACGUCGGCCUUGACGAUCCCCCAGUGGUCGAGGAUCACCGCGCCGGUGAUGAUCAGGUCGGGCGCGCCUUCGGCCCGCGUCGCCAUCCCCUGGCCCAUGGAUUCGCGG